rnacentral:miRNA from 1 species
UAUUUGUGUGUGUGUGUGUGUGUGUGUGUGUGCGUGUGCGCGCGCGUGCACACCCACACAUACACCCACACACCAAUUAC